AGAGAAGAGUGUCCAGCUCCUCCAGAGGCUGCCCGCCCGCCGCUCCUUCCCUGCCCACCUACUAUGAGGAGCAGCUCCUCCCACCUGCCCAUAAAAGCCAAGUGCAUGUUACCAGCAGCAGAUCACAGCCCUUCCCCGAUCCUCUCCGUGGGAGCCCGCGAGCCUCUCUCCCUGAUCUUACGUGCUCAAGGGAGUUCACACAUUCACCAACUCACCCUGGAAAUCAUCUCAAGAACGAAAGACAACUGAAAGUUUCUGCAUGAUCUUAGAAAUUUGCCAAAUAUAAACAUGUCAAUGUGAAGUUAAGAAGUGAGACUCACCUGUCCCUGCACAGUCUAUACUAUGCCCUUUCACAAUAGGAUCCAGUUUCACCUAUGGAAUGAGAAAGUUGGGGAAGAAUUCAUCUAGCAUCUUGCCACUCAAAGUGUGGUCCAUGGACCAGCAGCAUCAGCAUCACCUGGGAUCUUCUUGGAAGAAAUGUAGAAACUCAGGCCUCACCCCAGAAUCUGCCUUUUUAUAAGAUCCCCAGGUGGGCCAGUACACAGGUUUGCUAACUCUGUUCCUGGCCCCUGAGACCACUCUCUACCUACCUCACUGCCACCCAGCCACCCUCAUGGGGCUUCACUCUAAGGGAAGAAUUAGCAGUGAGCUUUUUUUUUUUUUUUUUAAAAAAAAAAAAAAAAAAAGCAUCUAGUAAUCCAAGCCCUCUCUUUCAACAGGUAAGGUAACUGAGGCCCAGAGAGGUAAAGUUGAUUUCCUGAAACCAAACAGCUAAUUAGGAACAGAACCCAGAUUUUGUUAUUAGUUUUCCAGUGUGCUUUAUGAUAACGUUUCAAG
rnacentral:sRNA from 1 species